rnacentral:rRNA from 1 species
UUAGUUUUAACUAAAAUAGUUUGGCAGCGAAUGAAUCCUAUCGGGGGAAGGUGUGUUGUAAAGGAUGAUCCGCCUAUUAAUUUACUCUUAUUAUGUUGGUGUAUAUCUAGUUUAAUAUUAUUGUCUAGUGACUUAAUUUGUGUAGAAUUUAGUUAAGCUAAGUCUAUGUGCUGCAUAUAGGAGUUUUCAUGCGUUACAUUUAUAAAGAGUUAGUUGUAAAGACUAAUUUAUUUAGGACUCGAAAGUAAUGUACAAUGAGUUUGUGUAUG